rnacentral:rRNA from 1 species
GAUGAACGCUGGCGGCGUGCUUAACACAUGCAAGUCGAACGGAAAGGCCAGUGCUUGCUCUGGUACUCGAGUGGCGAACGGGUGAGUAACACGUGGGUGAUCUGCCCUGUACUUCGGGAUAAGCUUGGGAAACUGGGUCUAAUACCGGAUAGGACAACUUUUUGGAUAUUGUUGUGGAAAGCUUUUGCGGUUUGGGAUGAGCUCGCGGCCUAUCAGCUUGUUGGUGGGGUAAUGGCGUACCAAGGCGUCGACGGGUAGCCGGCCUGAGAGGGUGUACGGCCACAUUGGGACUGAGAUACGGCCCAGACUCCUACGGGAGGCAGCAGUGGGGAAUAUUGCACAAUGGGCGCAAGCCUGAUGCAGCGACGCCGCGUGGGGGAUGAAGGCCUUCGGGUUGUAAACUCCUUUCGCUAGGGACGAAGCGUAAGUGACGGUACCUGGAGAAGAAGCACCGGCUAACUACGUG